rnacentral:misc_RNA from 1 species
AAGUCGUAACAAGGUCUCCGUAGGUGAACCUGCGGAGGGAUCAUUAACACGUUUUCUUAACGUUUAACUAUUUCCACCAACCGCGUGAAUUUAAUUGAAUCAACUAUUCGACCUGACAGGCUGAGACUCUGCUUGAAUUGCACGGAGUGAUGAGUGUUGUUAACGCAACACGGUGCUUUCAAGCUGGUACCGCAGUGCGAGCAAUUGCAUUGACAGUACAAGACCUCUUCCUUUUAGGCUUUCAACCCAAUGUUCCCUUCAUCGCUGGAACGCAAAAACCAUUUUCACCACUUAUAAACAACUAGACUGAUAUGCUCGUUCGUGUGGAAACGCACUAUACGGCAACAAAUUAAUCAAAUAUCUAAGCACAACUCUUAGCAACGGAUAUCUUGGUUCUC